rnacentral:rRNA from 1 species
AUACGGAGGGUCCGAGCGUUAUCCGGAUUUAUUGGGUUUAAAGGGUGCGCAGGCGGCCAUUUAAGUCAGCGGUUAAAUCGUGGGGCUCAACCCCAUUCUGCCGUUGAUACUGGGUGGCUUGAUUGCGGUCGAGGUUGGCGGAAUUCGUUGUGUAGCGGUGAAAUGCAUAGAUAUGACGAAGAACUCCGAUCGCGAAGGCAGCUCACCGGGCCGGAACUGACACUUAUGCUCGAAAGUGCGGGUAUCAAACAGGAUUAGAUACCCUGGUAGUCCGCACAGUAAACGAUGAAUACUCGCUGUUUGCGAUACACGGUAAGCGGCCAAGCGAAAGCGUUAAGUAUUCCACCUGGGGAGUACGCCGGCAACGGUGAAACUUAAAGGAAUUGACGGGG